rnacentral:rRNA from 1 species
UACGGAGGGGACUAGCGUUGUUCGGAAUUACUGGGCGUAAAGCGCACGUAGGCGGAUUUGUAAGUCAGGGGUGAAAUCCCGGGGCUCAACCUCGGAACUGCCUUUGAUACUGCAAAUCUCGAGUCCGGAAGAGGAGAGUGGAAUUCCUGGUGUAGCGGUGAAAUGCGCAGAUAUCGAGGAAGAACCACCCGUAGGCUAAGGCGGCUCGUCUAGUACGGUACUGACGCUGAAGACGCGGAAAGCGUGGGGAGCGAACAGG